UGGGCCCCUUCCUCACGCGGUGGCGACAGCUGCUCGGCUGCGGCCUCCCUCGGAGAAACUCCGGCCGAGAGGAUGAAGGGCGGGGCCGCCUCCCGGGAGCAGUGAGGCGGCUGCGGCGCCAUGUCUUGUGGUCCCAAGAGGCAUCUGAAGCAGGUAGCAGGUCCAAAGCAUUGGAUGCUGGAUAAACUGACUGUUCCUCAUCCAUCCACCAGUCCCCACAAGUUGAGAGACUAUGUCCCUCUCAUCAUUUUCCUAAGGAACAGACUUAAGUACGCCUUGACAGGAGAGGAAGUCAAGAAGAUUUGCAUGCGGCAUUUCAUUAAGAUCAAUGGCAAGGUCUGAAUUGAUAUAACCUACCCUGCUGGAUUCAUGGAUGUCAUCAGCAUUGAUGAGAUGGGAGAGAAUUUCUGUCUGAUCUAUAACAACAAGGGUCGCUUUGCUGUACAUCAUAUUACACUUGAGGAGACCAAGUACGAGUUGUGCAAAGUGAGAAAAAUCUUUGUGGACACAAAAGGAAUCCCUCAUCUGGUGACUCAUGAUGCUUACACCAUCUGCUACCCUGAUCCUCUCAUCAGGGUGAAUGACACCAUUCAGAUCAAUUUGGAGACUGGCAAGAUUACUGAUUUCAUCAAAUUCGACACUGGUAACCUGUGUAUGGUGACUGGGGGUGCUAACCUGGGAAGAAUUGGUGUGAUUACCAACAGAGAGAGGCACCCUGGAUCUUUUGACGUGAUUCACGUCAAAGAUGCCAAUGGUAACAGCUUUGCCACUCGACUUUCCAACAUUUUUGUUAUUUGCAAGGACAAUAAACCAUGGUUUUCUAUUCCUCGAGGAAAGGGUAUCUGCCUUACCAUUGCUAAAGAGAGAGACAAGAGAUUGGCAGCCAAACAGAGCAGUGGGUGAAAUGGUCCCUGGGUGACAUGUUAGAUCUUUGUACAUAAUUAAAAAUAACGUGGCAUGAUUGAUAGC